UUCUGCAGCGACACUACAUGAGAGGGAGGUUGGCCAGAUCCCUCCACCCUCAUUCUCCAGGGUGGGCGCUGGGGAAGAAAGGAGCCAAGUGCAUCACGGGCUUCCUGGGGCCACAGCCCCCAGUGCAGUUCCUAAUUCUGCUCGCACUCGGGCCUCAGGCUUGGUGGAGCUGGGCACCGGGGAGUUGGUGGCAGCGCUGAGAGGUCCCCACUGCCCUGUCAUGGCGUCUGCUCUCACAGUCCUCCUCCUCACUAAAGAACAGGAGAAGCUGCCUACUUGGACUUUAGUGACCCUGUGCACAUCAUUGUAGCAGAUUUGGCCUGGAGAUUGUGAGAAACCAUCUGAUGAGGAGAAAGGGGCCAAGUGUAUCACGGGCUUCCUGGGGCUUCAGCCCCCAGUGCAGUUCCUCAUUCCGCUCGCACUCGGGCCUCAGACUCGGAGGUGCUCAGCACCGGGGUGUUGGUGGCAGCGCUGAGGGGCCCCCCACUGCCCCUUCAUGGCAUCUGCUCUCACCAUCCUCCUCCUCGGCUGCUGGCUGGCCGGGCACAACAGGGUAUGGGGAGG